rnacentral:rRNA from 1 species
UACGAACUGUGCGAACGUUAUUCGGAAUCACUGGGCUUACAGGGUGCGUAGGCGGCUUGUUAAGUAGGGUGUGAAAGCCCCCGGCUCAACCGGGGAAUGGCGCCCUAAACUGGCGAGCUAGAGUGAGAUAGGGGUGUGUGGAACUUCCGGUGGAGCGGUGAAAUGUGUUGAUAUCGGAAGGAACGCCGGUGGCGAAAGCGACACACUGGAUCUUGUCUGACGCUGAGGUACGAAAGCCAGGGGAGCGAACGGG